AUUGAACGCUGGCGGCAUGCUUUACACAUGCAAGUCGAACGGCAGCGCGGGCUUCGGCCUGGCGGCGAGUGGCGAACGGGUGAGUACUGCAUCGGAACGUGCCCAGUAGUGGGGGAUAGCCCGGCGAAAGCCGGAUUAAUACCGCAUACGACCUGAGGGUGAAAGCGGGGGACCGAAAGGCCUCGCGCUAUUGGAGCGGCCGAUGUCGGAUUAGCUAGUUGGUGGGGUAAAGGCUUACCAAGGCGACGAUCCGUAGCUGGUCUGAGAGGACGACCAGCCACACUGGGACUGAGACACGGCCCAGACUCCUACGGGAGGCAGCAGUGGGGAAUUUUGGACAAUGGGGGCAACCCUGAUCCAGCCAUGCCGCGUGCGGGAAGAAGGCCUUCGGGUUGUAAACCGCUUUUGUUCGGGAAGAAAUCCUCUGGGCUAAUACCCCGGGGGGAUGACGGUACCGGAAGAAUAAGCACCGGCUAACUACGUG
rnacentral:rRNA from 1 species